CCUUUUCUACUGUUUAGUAUGUAGAUUUCCUUAGUUCAGUUCUUUACUACAGUGUAAAUCUGACCACUUAAGAACUCACUGUCUGAGCUUCACAUAUUAGUCUUUCAUUAUAGACCAAUGUUGUUUUUCCCAUUCACCAAAUUACUUCAGUGUAGCAAAUAUGGAUUGGUUGCUAAGAUAUUUUAAUCAGCUCAGCUUGGUUAAUGAAGAAUUUGAAUGUUGAUGAGUGGGUGAGUUCAUCAGUGUCCCCCUUAGAGGCUGUGUCAUUGUAACCUCACUAUUCAUUGAAAUCAGCUCAAGUAGAUCCAUGUUUUAGGGUGGGGAGUCAGAUAACUAGCCAAAACCAAUAGAGACUUAAUUUGGAGGCAGGAAAAAAAAAAAAAAAAAAAAAAACAAUCGGUACAUAAAGAGCUAGAGAGAUGAAUUUGGCCUGCUUUCUUUUUUGUUGCAACUCUUCAAUGCUGCCUGACAAUCAGCUCGGUUUAAUAUAAUCCCCUGGGAAGCCCACUUUCUUCCUAGGCAGGAAACUAUAAAAUGUCAGAAAUACAUAAAAGGCAGCUUACAUCUGGAAGAGAAAAGACAGGUAUGCUUCUAGAAGGAACACCUAUGAGUAGAACCCUGAGAAUUAAGCAGUUGGCACUGCUCAUCUAUUAACUUUCUUUAUUCAUAGCACAAGCACUGCAGCCUAGGAACAUGUUGAAAAUCCUCAUUCGAUAUUCCAAAGGAAGUGAUGAGCACUAGUGCUACAAAUGAAAGUCAAGGAGCAGCAGAAGGUUCAGUUUUGAUAAAGACAUGGAAGGGGGACUAGUGACAGUCUCCUCUCCAUUCCUUCCACCUCCCCCUCUCCCACUCAACAGCUGAAACCUGACACCUCACACCUGAAUUCCUCCACAAUCAUGCACCCACCACUCCCAUGAUGGCUCCCUACUUUCUACUGCUGUGGACUUUGAAGCAGCUUUCCCAGGAGCACCUAAGUACUGUGGACAAGCCUCAGGGGUAGGGCAAGGGGCAUGGCAUUUGAGAGAUGGGCCCAGAAAGAUAAAGCUUUCCUCACCAAAAGAAGUUUGAUGACCACUGUUGUACAUCACUGCAAGCCUGGGUUCACACUUUUCAUCAUCUGGCUCACUGGCUUCACCAGCCUCAUUUCUAAAUCACUCUCCUUCCUGUUGUUUCUCAGUACAUUCAUUCUCUUCCAAACUCCCUUCAAGUCUAAAAUAACUCAGGACAUUUCUUUGAAUCCUGGCCUCGCACCCUUUCCUGAACCAUUUUCAUUUCUUUAUGUCUUGUCUACCUAGUGGACCAGAGGCUUGGGGUAAGGUAGGGGCCCCAUCUGCAGAGAUGUUCAGCACUCACCCAUACAUGGGAUUCUCACUCGUGGCUCCUUCCUACAUCCCUGCCCUUGCUGAUACCCUCCUCCUCCCUGCUAGUUCAGAUGCCCAUUCCAGAGACUGAGGGCUCCUUUCUUGAAGCUCAUUUCCUGCCUUUCAGUCAUUUCGAGGCUCCAGUCUGUCCUGACCUCCCCUCCUCAGAUCUACUGCAUAUCUAGUCAGCACCCCACAAUUUAGCUUGUAAUCAUUACCUGCCUUGAAUUGUUCUCUGAUUGUUUCAGGUGCCAUAUUGUCUUAUUUGUCAUAUUUGUCUUCCCCAACUGAGCUGCAGGUUCACUAAAGCAAUGGACUGACCUCAACACUUUUCAAUAUAGGCAAAUGUCUUGGUUUGCUUUUAUCAAAUUACACUCAAAGGUCAUCAGAUGAGUCAACUCCUCCUUCUCCAACAGAAGAGAAUUUUCUCUUUCUCUUUGGAAAUUCCAACCCACCUUCAUAUUCAGUGCUGCAAACAACUGCUAUAAAAGUCAUGAUUACGUGUAAAACAAUAUGGUUUAAAAGGAGAGUCAUAGCACUUUUAACCCAAUUUCCAUCCUGAUCAGGCUGUAAUUGCAAAUAACAGAAGCAUAGUCACAAGAGGCAGACAUAUAGCAGGGGUGUUUGUAAGGAUUCAGGGGAGCACAGAAAACCAUGAACAGCAGUUGAAGCAACAUCCAGUCCACCCCAGAACCAGAACUUGAAGCAGAAAUCGAUUCCCCCCACCCUCUCGCUGCGCCCUCCCAGAGAUCGCAAAGUUGACUUUUACAGCCAGGGCAGUUCCAGUCCCAGGGGCCUCUCUGCACCCACCUUUCUCUGUUUCCUCAUGGCUUCGCAGCUCUCCUGUGACUUCACCACAUCCUAUAUUACUCAUGGCUCUUCCCAUGGCCCCAAAUGAUAAGAAACUCUCAGCUUAACUGGCAACUCUCCUGCCCAGGUCCCUCUGGUCAAAUCUUAAGAGACUCUGGUCAAAUCUUAAGAGAGAACAUGUGUUUGGCUCAGCCCGGUCCAAGGCUGUGAUCCUCUUCAUCAGAUGUUCAACAGGGAAGAAGGAAGCAUGUUGUACAAACAUGGACAACCUGCAGAAUCUGGGGAAAAGAAUCUAAGAUGAAAUGACUUAGAAGAAAGGACUGUGCUCUAGGAACAUUGAUUAUUGCUUGCAAAAACAUUCAAGUGUGCCAUCAGCUCCCUCUGAUUUUACCUCAACUGUUUUCUAAAUACGCUGGAUUCAAAAAGUGCUCUUAAUUUUAGAGGGCAGGGACAGAAGGAAAUCAGCAAACUGGAACCCACCUGGGUUAAACUCAGUGUGUCUGAUCAGUCAAAACUGAAACAAAUAGGGUCUGUCCCAAAAAAGCCUCUUGUAUCAACCCUCUUAAAAGUUUAAAUUGAUUCAGUCUUUGCAUCCAAAUUGGAAUACUCUCUUGUGCUGAGGUGCUUGCAGUCUAUUAUUUGUAUUUGAAUCCAUUAAAAAUGAAAUUUCCUCUGGCCUCGCUCAGUGGGUUGAGGAUCCGGCAUUGCCAUGAGCUGUGGUGUGGGUUGCAGAUAUGGCUCAGAUCCUGCAUUGCUCUGGCUGUGGCAUAGGCUGGCAGCUACAGCUCC
rnacentral:lncRNA from 1 species